CAAAGUUGAUGGUGUUUAUGUCGUCGAAUAUCGACGUCAUAAACACCAAAUUUGAUCGUGUUUAUGACGUCGAAUAUCGACGUCAUAAACACCAAAG